rnacentral:RNase_P_RNA from 1 species
GAGGGCCGGAUGACCGCGGGGCCUUCGGGCCGCGAGGAAAGUCCGGACUCCACAAGGCAACGGUGCCGGGUAACGCCCGGCGGGGGAAACCCCAGGGAAAGCGCCACAGAGAAUAGUCUGCUCCGGCCUGCCGGAGUGAGGGUGAAACGGUGGGGUAAGAGCUCACCGCGGGACUGGCAACAGGACCGGCACGGCAAGCCCCACCGGGAGCAAUGCCGAAUAGGGAUCGCGCGCGGGGGCCGGUCCGGGAGGGAACUCCGGGAUACCGCCCGCAGGCCGCCUUGGCCCUGCGAUCCGGGUUGGCAGCUAGACGCGUGUUGGCGACAACACGCCUAGAGGAAUGGUCAUCCAGCCCCGCAAGGGGUGGACAGAAUCCGGCUUACAGGCCCUCC